CUUGCUCGCUCUCCUUUGUUUUACUUUCUCUUCUCUUUCUCUCCCCCCUUGUCUCUCUCCUCUCUCUUUUUUCUCCCUCUCUCCAUCUCCUCUUUGCCUUCUCUCCCCUUUCCUUUUUUCUUUGUCCUCUCACUUUUUCUUCCUCCCUUUCUCUCCUCUUUCCUUCCCUCUUUCUCUCCCCCUUUCUCUCGUUCUGUGACCUUUCGCUCUCUAGCUCUUUUUCUCUUACUCUCCCUCACUUCCCCUCUCCUUCUCUCCCUUUUCUUUCUUCCUCCCUCUCCCCUCACUCUCAAUUUUUCCAUCUUUUUUCUCUCCCUCACUUUCCUCCACUCUUCCCUUCUUUUAUUUGCCUUCUCCCUUUCUCUCUCCCUCUUUUCUCCCCCUCUCCCUUUCUUUUUCACUCUCCUCUCUCUCCAUUUUUUUCUCCCUCUCCUUUCUCUCACUUUUUCGUUCUCCCUUUUUUCUCUUUCCCUCAGUCUCCUCUCCUUUGUCUCCCCUUUGUCUCUUUCUUUUUCUCCCUCUCUCCAUCUUUUAUUUCUCUCACUGUCCUAUUUUUUCUCUUACUUUCCCUCUUCCUUCCUCUCCUCCCUUUCUUUCUCUCUCUCCCCUUUCUUUCCCCUUUCUCUCUCCUCUGUCUCUUGCUUUUUCUUUUUUCUGUCUUCUUUCUCGCUUUCUUUUUCCCUUUGUCCAUCUUUCUGUCCCUCUUGCUCACUUUUUCUUUCUCCCUUUUCCUCUUUUUCUUUGCCUCACUCCCUCAGUCUCUCUGUCUUGCUUUUUCUUUCUCCCUCUAUCUCCUCUUUCUCUCCCAUUACUUUCUCCCUCUCUUUUCUUUCUCCUCAUUCUCUCUGCUCACAUUUUCCCUCUCCUCUAUUCUCUCCUUUUUACUCUCUCUCCCCCCUCUUUCUGGUCUCUUUCUUUCUCACCCUCUCUCUGUCUCUGUAUAUCCCUUUCUCCCUUUUUCUCUUUCACAGAAUUAUAGAAGUAGGGGCUGAAGUGACUUUGUAGAUCUUCAAGUCCGACCCCCUGCCUGGGCAGGAGAAAAACUGGGCUCAAAUGACUCCAGCCAGGUAGGCAUCAAGCCUCUUCUUAAAGACCCCCAGGGUAGGAGCCAGCACCACUUCCCUUGGAAG
rnacentral:lncRNA from 1 species